AGCAGCCGCGGUAAUUCCAGCUCCAAUAGCGUAUAUUAAAGUUGUUGCAGUUAAAAAGCUCGUAGUUGAAUUUCGGGAUCAAUCUAUCGGUCGUGCAAUAGUACGUACUGAUUUUAUUGAUUCCUCCCUUCUGAUGAACUAUGAUGUCAUUAAUUUGGUGUCAUAGGGAAUCAGGACUGUUACUUUGAAAAAAUUAGAGUGUUUAAAGCAGGCUCACGCUUGAAUACAUUAGCAUGGAAUAACGAAAUAGGACGUUUGAUUCUAUUUUGUUGGUUUCUAGGAUCGACGUAAUGAUUAAUAGGGAUAGUUGGGGGCAUUAGUAUUCAAUUGUCAGAGGUGAAAUUCUUGGAUUUAUUGAAGACUAACUACUGCGAAAGCAUUUGCCAAGGAUGUUUUCAUUAAUCAAGAACGAAAGUUAGGGGAUCGAAGACGAUCAGAUACCGUCGUAGUCUUAACCAUAAACUAUGCCGACUAGGGAUCGGAUGAUGUUAAUUUUUUAAUGUACUCU
rnacentral:rRNA from 1 species